CCGUGUCCCCCCCGGGGAUGAGGCCGGCUUGCCAGGAGGGGUCAGGGACCAGGAGCCUGUGGGAAGUUCUGACGGGGGCUGCAGGCGGGAAGGGCCCCACCGGGGGGCGAGCCCCAGGCCGCUGGGCGGCAGGAGACCCGUGAGAGUGCGCCUUGAGGAGGGUGUCUGCGGAACCACGAACGCCCGCCGGGAAGGGCUUGCUGCAAUGCGGUCUUCAGACGGGAGGCGUCUUCUGCCCUCACCGUCUUUCAAGCCCUUGUGGGUCUGAAAGAGCCAUGUCGGAGAGAGAAGGGACAGGCCUGUCCCGACCUGGCCGAGAGCGGGCAGCCCCGGGGGAGAGCGGGGCGAUCGGCCUGGGCUCUGUGAGGCCAGGUCCAAGGGAGGACGUGUGGUCCUCGUGACAGGUGCACUUGCGAAACCUUAGAAGACGGGGUAUGUUGGAAGCGGCUCCUGAUGUUUAAGAAAAGGGAGACUGUAAAGUGAGCAGAGUCCUCAAGUGUGUUAAGGUUUUAAAGGUCAAAGUGUUUUAAACCUUUGUGACUGCAGUUAGCAAGCGUGCGGGGAGUGAAUGGGGUGCCAGGGUGGCCGAGAGGCAGUACAAGGGCCGUGCCGUCCUCUAAUUCAGGGCUUAGUUUUGCAGAAUAAAGUCGGCCUGUUUUCUAAAAGCAUUGGUGGUGCUGAGCUGGUGGAGGAGGCCGCGGGCAGCCCUGGCCACCUGCAGCAGGUGGCAGGAAGCAGGUCGGCCAAGAGGCUAUUUUAGGAAGCCAGAAAACACGGUCGAUGAAUUUAUAGCUUCUGGUUUCCAGGAGGUGGUUGGGCAUGGCUUUGCGCAGCGCCACAGAACCGAAAGUGCCCACUGAGAAAAAACAACACCUGCUUAAUUUGCAUUUUUCUAAAAGAAGAAACAGAGGCUGACGGAAACUGGAAAGUUCCUGUUUUAACUACUCGAAUUGAGUUUUCGGUCUUAGCUUAUCAACUGCUCACUUAGAUUCAUUUUCAAAGUAAACGUUUAAGAGCCGAGGCAUUCCUAUCCUCUUCUAAGGCGUUAUUCCUGGAGGCUCAUUCACCGCCAGCACCUCCGCUGCCUGCAGGCAUUGCUGUCACCGUCACCGUGACGGCGCGCACGAUUUUCAGUUGGCCCGCUUCCCCUCGUGAUUAGGACAGACGCGGGCACUCUGGCCCAGCCGUCUUGGCUCAGUAUCUGCAGGCGUCCGUCUCGGGACGGAGCUCAGGGGAAGAGCGUGACUCCAGUUGAACGUGAUAGUCGGUGCGUUGAGAGGAGACCCAGUCGGGUGUCGAGUCAGAAGGGGCCCGGGGCCCGAGGCCCUGGGCAGGACGGCCCGUGCCCUGCAUCACGGGCCCAGCGUCCUAGAGGCAGGACUCUGGUGGAGAGUGUGAGGGUGCCUGGGGCCCCUCCGGAGCUGGGGCCGUGCGGUGCAGGUUGGGCUCUCGGCGCGGUGUUGGCUGUUUCUGCGGGAUUUGGAGGAAUUCUUCCAGUGAUGGGAGUCGCCAGUGACCGGGCACCAGGCUGUGUCUGAAACCAGCCCCAAAAUCUUCCCACUGACUCUGGGGAGCAGCGAGCCUGCCGGAUAUGUGGUCAUCGCCUGCCUGGUCCGGGACUUCUUCCCGUCAGAGCCCCUGACAGUAACCUGGAGCCCUAGUCGCGAGGGCGUUAUUGUCAGAAACUUCCCCCCUGCGCAGGCCGGGGGCCUGUACACCAUGAGCAGCCAGCUGACCUUGCCAGUCGAGCAGUGCCCAGCCGAUCAGAUCCUGAAGUGCCAAGUGCAGCACCUCUCCAAAUCCAGCCAGUCCGUGAACGUGCCCUGCAAAGUUUUACCUUCAGAUCCAUGUCCCCAGUGCUGCAAGCCCAGCCUGUCCCUGCAGCCACCAGCCCUUGCAGACCUGCUCCUGGGCUCCAAUGCCAGCCUCACCUGCACACUCAGUGGCCUGAAAAAAUCCGAGGGUGUCAGCUUCACCUGGCAGCCCUCAGGUGGGAAGGAUGCCGUCCAGGCGUCCCCCACGCGUGAUUCCUGUGGCUGCUACAGCGUGUCCAGCAUCCUGCCAGGCUGUGCUGAUCCUUGGAACAAAGGAGAGACAUUCUCCUGCACCGCCGCCCACUCUGAGUUGAAGAGCGCGCUAACCGCCACCAUCACCAAACCCAAAGUGAACACGUUCCGGCCCCAGGUCCACCUGCUGCCGCCGCCGUCGGAGGAGCUGGCCCUCAAUGAGCUGGUGACACUGACAUGCCUGGUGCGGGGCUUCAGCCCCAAGGAUGUGCUGGUGCGAUGGCUGCAAGGGGGCCAGGAACUGCCCCGUGACAAGUACCUCGUCUGGGAAUCCCUGCCAGAGCCUGGCCAGGCCAUCCCCACCUACGCCGUGACCAGCGUGCUGCGCGUGGACGCCGAGGACUGGAAGCAGGGAGACACCUUCUCCUGCAUGGUGGGCCACGAGGCCCUGCCCCUGGCCUUCACCCAGAAGACCAUCGACCGCCUGGCGGGUCACCGGGACCCAUUUCCCUGGCUGGUGCUGGACCUGCUGCGGGAGGGCCCGGAGGAAGAGACCCCGGAGGCCAGCCUCUGGCCCACCACCGUCACGCUGCUCACCCUCUUCCUGCUGAGCCUCUUCUACAGCACAGCACUGACAGUGACAAGCAUCCGGGGCCCAGCUGACAGCAGAGAGGGCCCCCAGUACUGAGCGGAGCCAGCCAGGGAGGAGCCUUGAGAGGCCUCCUGAGCCCAGCCAGAUGCCAGAGCUCGGCCCUGCUCCGAAGCCGCACGUCCAACCAUGCAUGUUUUCCUGGUGCAAUAAACUGACCCCAAAGACAAAA